UACGGGGGGGGUAAGCGUUGUUCGGAAUUACUGGGCGUAAAGGGCUCGUAGGCGGCCAACUAAGUCAGACGUGAAAUCCCUCAGCUUAACUGGGGAACUGCGUCUAAUACUGGAUGGCUUGGAUUCGGGAGAGGAAUGCGGAAUUCCAGGUGUAGCGGUGAAAUGCGUAGAUAUCUGGAGGAACACCGGUGGCGAAGGCGGCAUUCUGGACCGACAUUGACGCUGAGGAGCGAAAGCCAGGGGAGCAAACGGG
rnacentral:rRNA from 1 species